rnacentral:tRNA from 1 species
GUGGGUAUAGCUCAGUGGUAGAGCACAUGCUUAGCAUGCAGAAGGUCCUGGGUUCAAUCCCCAGUACCUCCA